rnacentral:rRNA from 1 species
AGAGUUUGAUCCUGGCUCAGAUUGAACGCUGGCGGCAGGCCUAACACAUGCAAGUCGAACGGUAGCACAGAGGAGCUUGCUCCUUGGGUGACGAGUGGCGGACGGGUGAGUAAUGUCUGGGAAACUGCCCGAUGGAGGGGGAUAACUACUGGAAACGGUAGCUAAUACCGCAUAACGUCGCAAGACCAAAGAGGGGGACCUUCGGGCCUCUUGCCAUCGGAUGUGCCCAGAUGGGAUUAGCUAGUAGGUGGGGUAACGGCUCACCUAGGCGACGAUCCCUAGCUGGUCUGAGAGGAUGACCAGCCACACUGGAACUGAGACACGGUCCAGACUCCUACGGGAGGCAGCAGUGGGGAAUAUUGCACAAUGGGCGCAAGCCUGAUGCAGCCAUGCCGCGUGUAUGAAGAAGGCCUUCGGGUUGUAAAGUACU